CACAGGUUUGGUCCCAGCCUUCCUAUUGACCACUAAUAGAUUUACACAUGCAAGUAUCUUCAUCCUAGUGAAAAUGCCCUACAAGUCAACAAGACUAAAAGGAGCCGGUAUCAAGCACACACCUGUAGCUCAUGACGCCUUGCUCAGCCACGCCCCCACGGGAAACAGCAGUGAUAAAAAUUAAGCCAUAAACGAAAGUUUGACUAAGUCAUGUUAGUUAGGGUUGGUAAAUUUCGUGCCAGCCACCGCGGUCAUACGAUUAACCCAAGUUAAUAGGUCCACGGCGUAAAGCGUGUUUAAGCACUAUAUCAAAUAAAGUUAAAUUCCAAUUAAGCUGUAAAAAGCCAUAAUCGAAAUGAAAAUAAGUAACGAAAGUGACUUUACAAUCGCCGAAACACGAUAGCUAAGAUCCAAACUGGGAUUAGAUACCCCACUAUGCUUAGCCCUAAACACAAAUAGUUAUAUAAACAAGACUAUUCGCCAGAGUACUACCGGCAAUAGCUUAAAACUCAAAGGACUUGGCGGUGCUUUAUACCCUUCUAGAGGAGCCUGUUCUAUAAUCGAUAAACCCCGAUAGACCUUACCACCCCUUGCUAAUUCAGUCUAUAUACCGCCAUCUUCAGCAAACCCUAAAAAGGAACAAAAGUAAGCAUAAUCAUCAUACAUAAAAACGUUAGGUCAAGGUGUAACCUAUGGAGUGGAAAGAAAUGGGCUACAUUUUCUAAUAUAAGAAAAUUCUUUACGAAAGUUAUUAUGAAAUUAAUAACUAAAGGAGGAUUUAGCAGUAAACUAAGAACAGAGUGCUUAGUUGAAUUAGGCCAUGAAGCACGCACACACCGCCCGUCACCCUCCUCAAGCAGAUACAAUAUAUUUAAAUUUAUUUACACAUAUUAAUCAUGUAAGAGGAGAUAAGUCGUAACAAGGUAAGCAUACUGGAAAGUGUGCUUGGAUAAU
rnacentral:ncRNA from 1 species